rnacentral:rRNA from 1 species
GCGGUUAUACGUGUAACCCAAGAUGACAGAAACCGGCGUAAAGAGUGGUUAGGGAAAACAAGAACUAAAGCUGAACACCUUUUUGACCGUAUAACGUAUUCAAAAUUAGAAAAUCCAUCACGAAAGUAGCUUUAACCCCCCCCUGAUUCCACGAAAGCUAUUAAACAAACUGGGAUUAGAUACCCCACUAUGCCUAGCAGUAAACUGAUGAGUAGUUACACCCAACAUCCGCCUGGGUAUUACAAGCACCAGCUUAAAAUCCAAAAGACCUGGCGGUGCUUUAAAACCCCCUAGAGGAGCCUGUUCUAUAAUCGAUAACCCCCGUUCAACCUCACCCUCUUUUGCCAUUACCGUUUGUAUACCGCCGUCGUCAGCUUACCCUGUGAAGGGUUUAUAGUGAGCACAAUUGAUUGAACCUUAUACGUCAGGUCAAGGUGUAGCUUAUAAGAGGGAAAGUAAUGGGCUACAUUCGCUCACCAGCGUAUUACGAAUGCAACCUGAAAUCUCAUGACUAUGAAGGAGGAUUUAGUAGUAAGGGAGAAAUAGAGUAUCCCCCUGAAGCAGGCGCUAAAGCACGCACACACCGCCCGUCACUCUCCCCUUUUCUACACAACGUUAAAUAAACACCACUUAGAAAACUUAGGGGAGGCAAGUCGUAA